CCACCACUAAGCCAGUGGUGAACUCCACAUACGCAUCCUUUGCUGAGGAUACGGUUAACGGAGCGAAAGCGACGUUCAACCUCAAAAGAAGCAGAGGGGGCUUAGUGGUGGGGUGACUGCGUACCUUUUGUAUAAUGGGUCAGCGACUUAUAUUCUGUAGCAAGGUUAACCGUAUAGGGGAGCCGCAGGGAAACCGAGUCUUAACCGGGCGUUAAGUUGCAGGGUAUAGACCCGAAACCCGGUGAUCUAGCCAUGGGCAGGUUGAAGGUUGGGUAACACUAACUGGAGGACCGAACCGACUAAUGUUGAAAAAUUAGCGGAUGACCUGUGGCUGGGGGUGAAAGGCCAAUCAAACCGGGAGAUAGCUGGUUCUCCCCGAAAGCUAUUUAGGUAGCGCCUCGUGAACUCAUCUCCGGGGGUAGAGCACUGUUUCGGCUAGGGGGCCAUCCCGGCUUACCAACCCGAUGCAAACUGCGAAUACCGGAGAAUGUUAUCACGGGAGACACACGGCGGGUGCUAACGUCCGUCGUGAAGAGGGAAACAACCCAGACCGCCAGCUAAGGUCCCAAAGUCAUGGUUAAGUGGGAAACGAUGUGGGAAGGCCCAGACAGCCAGGAUGUUGGCUUAGAAGCAGCCAUCAUUUAAAGAAAGCGUAAUAGCUCACUGGUCGAGUCGGCCUGCGCGGAAGAUGUAACGGGGCUAAACCAUGCACCGAAGCUGCGGCAGCGACACUAUGUGUUGUUGGGUAGGGGAGCGUUCUGUAAGCCUGUGAAGGUGGCCUGUGAGGGUUGCUGGAGGUAUCAGAAGUGCGAAUGCUGACAUAAGUAACGAUAAAGCGGGUGAAAAGCCCGCUCGCCGGAAGACCAAGGGUUCCUGUCCAACGUUAAUCGGGGCAGGGUGAGUCGACCCCUAAGGCGAGGCCGAAAGGCGUAGUCGAUGGGAAACGGGUUAAUAUUCCCGUACUUGGUGUUACUGCGAAGGGGGGACGGAGAAGGCUAUGUUGGCCGGGCGACGGUUGUCCCGGUUUAAGCGUGUAGGCUGGUUUUCCAGGCAAAUCCGGAAAAUCAAGGCUGAGGCGUGAUGACGAGGCACUACGGUGCUGAAGCAACAAAUGCCCUGCUUCCAGGAAAAGCCUCUAAGCAUCAGGUAACAUCAAAUCGUACCCCAAACCGACACAGGUGGUCAGGUAGAGAAUACCAAGGCGCUUGAGAGAACUCGGGUGAAGGAACUAGGCAAAAUGGUGCCGUAACUUCGGGAGAAGGCACGCUGACAUGUAGGUGAAGUGAUUUACUCAUGGAGCUGAAGUCAGUCGAAGAUACCAGCUGGCUGCAACUGUUUAUUAAAAACACAGCACUGUGCAAACACGAAAGUGGACGUAUACGGUGUGACGCCUGCCCGGUGCCGGAAGGUUAAUUGAUGGGGUCAGCGCAAGCGAAGCUCCUGAUCGAAGCCCCGGUAAACGGCGGCCGUAACUAUAACGGUCCUAAGGUAGCGAAAUUCCUUGUCGGGUAAGUUCCGACCUGCACGAAUGGCGUAAUGAUGGCCAGGCUGUCUCCACCCGAGACUCAGUGAAAUUGAACUCGCUGUGAAGAUGCAGUGUACCCGCGGCAAGACGGAAAGACCCCGUGAACCUUUACUAUAGCUUGACACUGAACAUUGAGCCUUGAUGUGUAGGAUAGGUGGGAGGCUUUGAAGUGUGGACGCCAGUCUGCAUGGAGCCGACCUUGAAAUACCACCCUUUAAUGUUU
rnacentral:rRNA from 1 species